GGACAUAAGGUGUGUGUGUCUGUGUGGAGGAGAUGAGUUGCCCACACAUGGCACUCAACUCUGCAGG
rnacentral:miRNA from 1 species